CGGCAGCACGGAGCUUGCUCUGGUGGCGAGUGGCGAACGGGUGAGUAAUAUAUCGGAACGUACCCUAGAGUGGGGGAUAACGUAGCGAAAGUUACGCUAAUACCGCAUACGAUCUAAGGAUGAAAGUGGGGGAUCGCAAGACCUCAUGCUCGUGGAGCGGCCGAUAUCUGAUUAGCUAGUUGGUAGGGUAAAAGCCUACCAAGGCAUCGAUCAGUAGCUGGUCUGAGAGGACGACCAGCCACACUGGAACUGAGACACGGUCCAGACUCCUACGGGAGGCAGCAGUGGGGAAUUUUGGACAAUGGGCGAAAGCCUGAUCCAGCAAUGCCGCGUGAGUGAAGAAGGCCUUCGGGUUGUAAAGCUCUUUUGUCAGGGAAGAAACGGUGGGAGCUAAUAUCUCUUGCUAAUGACGGUACCUGAAGAAUAAGCACCGGCUAACUACGUGCCAGCAGCCGCGGUAAU
rnacentral:rRNA from 1 species